AUUAAAAGUGCUACUGACCUCCAUGCCCCAGGUCACUAAUGCUUGGAGCCAAGAACAUGAAAGUAUCAAUUCCUCCUAUGUGAUUUCAACACCCCUCCCCUGUGACUCUGCUGAGGUUCCAAAGAAGGAAAGUGACUCACUUGGGUAGAUCAUCUUGCAGAGGGUGGGCAAAUCAGAAGAUGAUGAUCAGGAUUUUCUCACCUGUUUUUAUCAUUUAAUCCUAAUCUUGUAGGCACCAGGCUUCUUAGAUGGUCCUAUGAUAAUGUUACUACAGUCUCACUCCCUGCUUUCUCUAAACCCCUCCCCCUGACUUUUUGAAGCUUGAUAUAUAAUUUGUAUAUCAUACUUCAGCUAUUAUAAAUACACAGCUUCUUUUUUUUUUUUUUUUUUUUUUUUUGAGACGAAGUCUCACUCUGUCGCCCAGGCUGGAAUGGAAUGGAAUGGCAUGAUCACGGCUAACUGCAACCUCCGCCUCCCGGGUUCAAGCAAUUCUCCUGUCUCAGUCUCCCGAGUAGCUGGGAUUAUAGGUGUGUGCCACCAAGUCUGGCUAAUUUUUUGUAUUUUUAGUAGAGAUGGAGUUUCACCAUGUUGGCCAGGCUAGUCUUGUACUCCUGACCUCAAGUGAUCCACCUGCCUCGGCCUCCCAAAGUGCUGGGAUUAUAGACAUGAGCCACUGCGCCUGGCCUGGCUUGAUAAUUUUUAAUAUUUAUGUAGAUGUGUGAUCAUCACUACUUUUCUCCAUGUCUCCUAAAAACCAAUCCAACUUCCCAGGUUAAUUUCGUAAUGAGUAGCAAGGCCUUUCUCUUCUCACCUCAAUCCAAGCAAAUGUUAUCUUUCUGGAUAUAUUGGAUAUGUUUCUAUCAUUUAAAAAAAUGCUGUGAAUUAUGCCCACUUAUAUUCCAGUGAGGAUGUUUUGGGUGAUUUUUUUUAAGUGGGAGUUAGUUCCUCUUAUAACUUUUUCUUUUCUUGGUUAUGCAAUCAGAGCCUGUUGGCCCCAACCACACUGGGUACAGGAAGGUCAUUCAUUGGACAAAAGACUUUACACCAAGUACAAUGUUGCAUAAAAAGCAUGAGAACCUUGGCUAAGUGACUGUGUACUUGCUAUAAAAAUAUUGACACUUGGUAUAAACUGUGAUGACAGCGCCAUCUGAUGGGAAGGUGUGAGGGCAGAAGCCAUCAAGAUGACAUUUCAGAAAUAGAAUUUUGACUCAUCUCCCUUUUCUGGUUUAGAUAAUGGAUAUGAGAUAGAUGCAGUUGCACUUAGGAAUCUGUCUUGCUUUGGGUUUUGUAUGCCUUUCAAACCUAAAGGUGGGAGAAACUAAAUCAGAAAACCAAUCAUUCCUUUUAGCCAUUUCACUGUAUUUUUAAGAAACAUUUUAAAAUAUACGAAAACAGGGCCACGCACGGUGGCUCACGUCUGUAAUCCCAGCACUUUGGGAGGCCAAGCCGGGGGCAGGGGAGGGGGGCGGAUCACCUGAGAUCAGGAGUUCAAGACCAGCCUGGACAACAUGGUGAAACCCAGCCUCUACUAAAAAUACAAAAAUUGGCCGGGUGAGGUGGCAGGCACCUAUAAUCCCAACUACUCAGGAGGCUGAGGCAGGAGAAUUGCUUGAACCCAGGAGGCGGAGGUUGCAGUGAGCUGAAAUCGGGCCAUCACACUCCAGCCUGGACAACAUAGCGAGACUCAGUCUCAAAAAAAAAAAAAAAAAAAAAAAAACUUGGAAACAGCAAUUCAUUGGAUUUUCAUGGCAGCUGAUACUUUACAGUUAAAUAUGUACUGCAUACAUCACAUCUUCAAGUCAGCAGCAUGCUCUGGUACAGAACUGACUUGUUUUUUAUAGGCAAAUGGACAUACCUGUGGAUUUUAGACCCUAAUGCCUAGCUUUAAAAAGGGUCUCCUAUCUUUAGUUUGGCAUCUGAAGCUCUCUGGUCCAGCCCAAUGAACCUUUUUUAGGCUUAAUUCCCACUGUCCCUCACUGAAAAGCUGUUUUGCAAUCUCCAGUGGUUCUCAAACUUGGUUGCACAUUAGACUUACCUGGGAAGAUUAAAACAACAACAAUAUCCAGGCCACAUCCCAUACCAGUUUAUAUAGAAGUUUUCGGGAUGGGGCCAGCAUCAAAAAUUUUUUAAAACUCGAUAAUUUGAGAGCCAGUCAAAUGUUCUGGAACAGUGCUUCUCAAAGUUUAAUCUGCAUUACACAGGAGUCUUUGAGUAUAGAUUCUGAUUCAGUAGGUCAGUGUGUCUGAAAUUCUGUUUUUGUUUUUUUUUUUGUUUUGUUUUUUGGUUUUUUUUUUUUUUUUUUGAGACAGAGUCUUGCUCUGUCGCCCAUGCUGGAAUGCAAAGGCAUGAUCUUGGCUCACUGCAACCUCCACCUCCCGGGCUCCAGUGAUUCCCCUGCCUCAGCUUCCUGAGUAGCUGGGAUUAAAGGCGCCCACCACCAUGCCUGGCUAAUUUUUUGCAUUUUUGGUACAGAUGGGGUUUCACCACGCUGGCCAGGGUGGUCUUGAACUCCUGACCGCAGGUGAUCUGCCCGCCUCAACCUCCCAAAGUGCUGGGAUUACAGGCGUGUCACCAUGCCCAGCCUGAAAUUCUGUGUUUCUAACAGACUUUUAGGCAUGCUGAUACUGUGGUCCACAGACUUCACUUUGAGGAUCUAGAUUACAUGCCAGGUAUCAACUACAAAUUGUUUUCCAACUUCAUUGUCUUUGCUCAUGAUUUUGUAUCCACCUAUACUUGCCUUCUCUGAUUAUCAUCUGUGGCUAAUUCCUCUUCUACCCUUCAAAUUUGUUUCAAAUGCCACCUCCUUGAAAGUUCAGAUUUCUUUCCCUAAUGAAAUCCACCUUUGUAGUUCAACUCUUACUCAUCUUUAAGACUUAGCUGUGUCAUGGCUUAAGGAAAGCCUGAGCCCACUGAGGACAAAGAGGUCUUUACUCUAGUUCUUUGUUUCUCUCCCUACCCACCUCUCUCUUUCCCUUCUUUUCUCUUUUUCCUUCUCUGUAGUUACAGAAAUCAUGGACUAAGACUUUUUUCUAAACAUUAAUUUUAAUUACUUUAUGUAACUAAAAUACACUACAGUGCAGUUUUAAAGUAAUUCCCAAUUCAGGUAGCUUUGUUUCUUCACUAAUACCAAUAAGUAGGGCUUUUUUGAUUGUUCUUUUCUGUUCACUUGUGAUUAAAAAGUAUCUUAAGUCAAAGGGCUGGAAAAAAAUACUGGAAAACUGUUCAUUCGUGUUUUAGCAGUGAAAGAAAAACCUAACAGUAAUAAAAUUUUAUUACUGUUAUUAUUUUUAUUAGGUAAAGAUAUUUAUUCUAAACUGUUCUAAAGUGGAUUAGCUAAUUUAAUCCGAAUAACCCUGAGGUACUAUUAUUUUUUCCAUUUUGUAGAUAAAUAAAAGCUUUGUGGCUCUAUUUUCUUAUUUAUUUUUUAAUUAAUUUAGUUCUUUCCAGAUGGAGUCUUGCUCUGUCGCCCAGGCUGGAGUACAGUGGUACGAUCUUGGCUUGCUGCAACCUCUGCCUCCUAGGUUCAAGCGAUUCUCCUGCCUCAGCCUCCUGAGUAGCUGGGACCACAGGCAUGUGCCACCAUGCCUGGCUAAUUUUUAUCUUUUUAGUAGAAAUGGGUGGGGUUUCACCAUGUUGGCCAGGCUGGUCUCUAACUUCUGACCUCAGGUGAUCCACCUGCCUUGGCCUCCCGAAGUGCUGGGAUUACAGGUGUGAGCCACUGCGCCCGGCCAAAAAGAGAGCCACAAAGCUUUUAAAUAGUGAGCUCAAGGUUACACAGCUAAUAUAUAGUGGAGCCAGAACUGGAAAUCAAGCCACCUGCCUCUAGCUCUUAUCUUGAAGCCAAGGCUUUUGUUAACAGGAAUUUUUUAAGGGUAAGAAAAAAAAGGCGGGGUGCGGUGGCUCACACCUAUAAUCCCAGCACUUUGGGAUGCUGAGGCAGGCAGAUUACCUGAGGUCGGGAGUUUGAGACCAGCCUGACCAACAUGGAGAAACCCCAUCGCUACUAAAAAUACAAAAUUAGCUGGGCUAAUUUUAUUUCUUAAAAUAAAAAAUAUUAUAUAUUUUUAAGAAAAAUAAAAAAUACAUAAUAUAAAAACAUAUUUACUCUAUAUGAAUUCCGGUAAAAUAUUCUGGAGGGCAGGGUCCUGAAUUUGUAGUGAAGCAAUUCAGCCCAUAGCUCUGACUUCUGAGAAUCAGAAUCAGGAAAUCCAGACCUGUCAUUAACUGCACUCAGCCUUAGAGAUUUUGCUCUCUCUUUGUCACUGUUCAUUGCUUAGUAAAGAGGAAUAAGGAUACCUGUUGUACUAACUUCCUAGGGCUACUGUGAAAAACAAGUGAUGUGAAAUAGUGGAAACUUUUCUGAAGUGUAAACCACCAUCACAUGCAGAGGAUUUCAGACACUGCUGUUCUCACUUCUCCCACUGUUAUAUUCUAGCCAUCACUGGCUGCUGCUGCUUAGUCCACCAGCCUCUGUAAUCCAAAGCUCUUCAAGGUUCUAUUCUUGGUUUUUUUAAUACUAGUAGCAAUAGCUGACGCUUAUUGAGUGCUUACUAAGGAGGGUCAUGGUUGGAGCUCUGCGGAAGAGAGAGGUCAGAGGCAAUUUUUUUUUUUUUUUUUUUUUUUUUUUUUUUGAGACGGAGUCUUGCUCUGUCGCCCAGGCUGGAGUGCAGUGGCAAGAUCUAGGCUCACUGAAAGCUCCACCUCCCAGGUUCACGCCAUUCUCCUGCCUCAGCCUCCCAAGUACCUGGGACUACAGGUGCCCGCCACCACACCUGGCUAGUCUUUUUGUAUUUUUACUAGAGACAGGGUUUCACCGUGUUAGCCAGGAUGGUCUACAUCUCCUGACUUCGUGAUCUGCCUGCCUCGGCCUCCUAAAGUGCUGGGAAUACAGGCGUGAGCCACUGCAUCUGGCUGAGGAAAUUUUUUUAAACUCUGAAAUGUUGCUUUUGAGGACUCAACUUUUGAGCCCCUUCUUGGCUUACUUCAGUUUUCUCCCUAGGUAAUCACAUCUGUUCACUGGUAUUCAAUACCCAUUUCUUUUGUGAUGAUUCCCACAUUUUUAUAUGCACAGCCCCAACUUUUCCUCAGAGCUUCGGACUUGCAUAUGUAACAUAAAUACUUGGAUGUCUCAUAGCAUUUCAAACCCAAGUCCAAGCCUGAAUGCCUGUCAUUCUUCUUAAAACUCAUUCCUCUUCCACUUCUGCUUCUUUCUCUAUCAUCCAGUUGCUUAUGCCAGAAAUCUAGGAGUCAUUUUUGACUCAAUGAUUCUUCUCCACUCUACCCACCAUGCUAAUCUAUCAAGUGCUGUCAAUCUUCCCAGCUGAAGCCACCAUUAUGGCUUAGUUGAACUGAAGCAAUAAGUUCCUAACUGGUUACCUUCAUUUUAUUCUUGUCCCCCUAUCCAUUCUCUAGAUAGUCCGUGCUCUUGUGUUUUUUUUAAAGAGGGAAAAAAGACCAAGUUAGGUCCUUGCUUAAAAUCCUUCAGAGGCUUCGAAUUCCUCUAAACAUGCACACAAACAAUUAUUUUAUUAAGUUCAAGGGUACAUGUGCAGGUUUGUUACACAUUAUUUUGCCACCCAGGUACUAAGCCUAGUACCCAAUAGUUACUUUUUCCUCUCCUCUCCCCUCUCACCCUCAAGUAGAUCCCAGUGUCUGUUUUUUCCCUUUUUGUGUCCAUGUGUUCUCAUCAUUUAGCUUCCACUAAAUGAGAACAUAUGGUAUUUGGUUUUCUGUUCCUAUGUUAGUUUGCUAAGGAUAAUGGUCUCUAUCUAUGUUCCGUUCCUGCAAAGGACAUGCUCUCACUCUUUUUUUUAUACCUGCAUAGUAUUCCAUGGUGUAUGUGUGUGUACAUUUUCUUUAUCCAGUCUACCAUUGAUGGGCAUUUAGGUUGAUUCCAUUCUUUGCUAUUGUGAAUAGUGCUGCAGUGAACAUACAUGUGCAAGUGCCUUUGUGAUAGAACAAUUUAUAUUCCUUUGGUUUAUACACCCAAUAAUGGGAUUGCUGGGUUGAACGGUCGUUCUGUUUUUAGCUCUUUGAGGAAUUGCCACACCACUUUCCAUAAUGGUUGAACUAAUUUGCACUCCCACCAAUAGUGUAUAAAUGUUUCCUUUUCUCCACAACCUUGCCAGCACCUGUUAUUUUUUGAGUUUUUAAUAAUAGCCAUUCUGACUGGUGUGACAUGGUAUCUCAUUGUGGUUUUAAUGUGCAAUUCUCUAAUGAACAGUGAUGCUGAACUUUUAUUCAUAUGCUUGUUGGCCACAUGCCUGUCUUCUUUUGAAAAGUGUCUGUGCGUGGCUGGGCACAGUGGCUCACGCCCGUAAUUCAAGCACUUUGGGAGGCCAAGGUGAGUGGAUCACUUGAGGUCAGGAGUUUGAGACCACCCUGGCCAACAUGGUGAAACCCCGUCUCUACUAAAAAUACAAAAAUUAGCGGGGCAUGGUAGCAUGUGCCUGUAAUCCCAGUUACUCAGAAGGUUGGGGCAUGAGAAUUGCUUGAACCCAGGAGGCAGAGGUUGCAAUGAGCCGAUAUUGUGCUACUGCACUCCAGCCUGGGCAACAGGUGAGACUGUCUCAAAAAUAAAAGAAGAAACAAAAAGUGUCUGUUCAUGUUCUUUGCCCACUUGUUAAUGGGGUGGGUGGUUUUUUGCUUGUAAAAAGCAAAAAUUGACAAACUGGACCUAAUUAAGGAGCUUCUACACAGCAAAAGAAACUAUCAACAGAAUAAAGAGAUAACCUACAUAAUGGGAGAAAAUAUUUGCAAACUAUGUAUCUGACAAAAGUCUAACAUCGAGCAUCUAUAAGGAAUUUAAAUUCCCUUUAGAAUGAAAUCUAAAUCCUUUCCUCUGGCCUACAGGGCUCUGAAUGAU
rnacentral:lncRNA from 1 species